AAAGCGAGCGGCGGAUGGGUGAGUAACACGUGGGGAACCUGCCCCUAAGUCUGGGAUACCAUUUGGAAACAGGUGCUAAUACCGGAUAAUAAAGCAGAUCGCAUGAUCAGCUUUUGAAAGGCGGCGUAAGCUGUCGCUAAGGGAUGGCCCCGCGGUGCAUUAGCUAGUUGGUAAGGUAACGGCUUACCAAGGCGACGAUGCAUAGCCGAGUUGAGAGACUGAUCGGCCACAUUGGGACUGAGACACGGCCCAAACUCCUACGGGAGGCAGCAGUAGGGAAUCUUCCACAAUGGACGCAAGUCUGAUGGAGCAACGCCGCGUGAGUGAAGAAGGUUUUCGGAUCGUAAAGCUCUGUUGUUGGUGAAGAAGGAUAGAGGUAGUAACUGGCCUUUAUUUGACGGUAAUCAACCAGAAAGUCACGGCUAACUACGUGCCAGCAGCCGCGGUAAUACGUAGGUGGCAAGCGUUGUCCGGAUUUAUUGGGCGUAAAGCGAGCGCAGGCGGAAAAAUAAGUCUAAUGUGAAAGCCCUCGGCUUAACCGAGGAACUGCAUCGGAAACUGUUUUUCUUGAGUGCAGAAGAGGAGAGUGGAACUCCAUGUGUAGCGGUGGAAUGCGUAGAUAUAUGGAAGAACACCAGUGGCGAAGGCGGCUCUCUGGUCUGCAACUGACGCUGAGGCUCGAAAG
rnacentral:rRNA from 1 species